GCUUUCAGGAAAACAUCAGGAGUUUCAGAGAGGUUUAAAGGCGUUUCAGAAAUAAUUACGUCAGCGCGACAGAUGAUGUAAACCACCAAUCAAUUCUACGCCUGAGUGAAGUUAAAGAUGCCAUUCAAUAGCUCAUGAACAAUAAAGCUACUGCUGGGGAUGGUAGCACUUCGUCCAGAUGGGCUCAAAAUAGUUGGUCGUCUGUCUGUAUCGGGUGAUUGUCAUGAUCUUGGAGAUCCAACAGCUAUCGAAGGGGUAAAAAGAAAUGGAGAUAUACUGUUUUUACUAAUAAAAAUUAGACUGUUCAAAAAUAUUUCUUAGUUAAUUUAACCACAUUUACCCAAAACUGUCCCACUGUGCGUUGUCUUUUGUCGGUAUGCAAGUUCAGUACAUUCGCACGUAUUGCAACUAUCUCCACACAUGAUGAUGAUGCAUUCUGGUAAACCCUGGACGCGUGUAUGGUAUGUAUGGUAGUGCCAUACUCGCCGCUGCACCCCGUUGUUGUUGUAGGUGACAUGAGCGCAACUGCAGCUGAGUCGAGGCAAAUACCAUAAAUUUCGUUCCCAGAUCGGACAAUCAGUGGGAACUUGAACCACCGCCGUCUCCUACUACCACUGAUCGCUCGUUGCAGGUUUUUGCUUGGUGUCGGUACACUUGAAACCAGCUGUACUCACUCACAUGGAAGGUGCUAGGUAACCCUUCUAAUGGUUUUGGCAAACAUCAAGUAGUACGAGUAAAAAGUGUGAGAGAGAGAGCUUGAGUGUCAAUACAUGCAAAAGGGAUACCCUACGCUACGCUGAAGAGAACUUCGAAUUCAGCUUUUUACAGAUUUAUAAUAGUUUUUAUACUCGCUCACAACUCGUGGGAAUCAAGCACCUAUCUGGCAGUUCGUAGUUGUGAAAUUAAAAUAUAGGUGAACAACACCACCGUGUUGUCGUCCACUAUACUGACUGGCUGGUGGUCGAUCGUUUGAAGUACACACCACGUACCUACCUUCCUAUCUACAAAGAGAAGAGAGUACUUUAUUUAUUCGAUUCAUUCAUUCGAUUGAUUGUGCACACUCUCACCAGCAACUACAGCGCUGUAGCUAGCAAUCGGCGGCUGGCUAGUCGCAUUGAAGGAAAAAUAGUUAUCGCGUGUUUCACAUAAGCCCACGGUCCAAUGUGACAGCAGUAGCAGUAGCCGCCACUGCACUACUGUGGGCUCCGACUAGAACUAGUGAUUCAACUUUCAGCUUUUCGGAUUUUGCAGAAAUUUACAAAUGCAACAACAGCAGUGUUUUGAAACAGCGACGAGGUUAAGACUAAACACUAGGUACAAAGUGAUACAUAAAAGUUUUGUAAAAGUUAGCGAGAUAAUAUUUUUAUAUUUACUUCUUAGAAUUUGUCCACAUGGUCCUUUAAUACGCCCUAACCCGACUAGAAAAUUAUAUCAAAAUUAUAUCAUAUUGUGUUAUGAUCAGGGUACGAAAAACGGAUCACGCCGAAAAACAAACGGUUUGUCCUAAGCGGUGCAUGUUGGUAACAAAGGCGCUCCGCAACAAACGCAUGUCAGGCAAUGAGAGCAAUAAAACAAACAUCGCUUGCCGUGCGUGUAACGAUAUUCCGGCUUUUCUUCUGAAUUUUUUGACCCACGUCAUCGAAUUUAUAAGCAUUUGGACUAAUUAGGACUCUUGCAAACCUCAGAAUCGAGUUUCACUUGUAAAACAAUGCGAAAAUCACGAAGUGAAUAAAACGAGACAAAUAUUCCUACCGUUUUUGUUGUGAACAAACUCGGGAGCGAUUUUGUCAUUAUCUGCUAACGAAAAAACAAAGCGUUGUUGCCGUGCCUUCUUUGUUGCCUAUUUUUCGCUUGUGGGGGCAUAUUCUGCGUACACUGGUUAUGAUGUUUUAUUUUUCUAUAACUCAUUAUGUUAUAAACUAGAUGCAGGAUGAUGUUAAAAUAACUAAAAUUGUAACAAAAAGUACACUGAUUAAAACAAGAUAAUAACCUAUUUUGUAACAAUCAGAUCAAAAUUAUAACAAAAUGUGAUAUGAAUUUUAGCUUUUGGAUUACUAGUUUCUAUCAAAAUUUGAUACAAUUUUGUAACAUUAUUUUCUAAUCGUCGAUAAAUCAAAACUAAAUUGUAAUACAAUGAGUUAUUUAUAACAUAAUGUGAUAUAAUUGAGACUAUAAGUCUUUUGAAAUCACCAAGGAUGUUGAACAUGAUUAUAUCAAAAUGAGUUAUGAAUAUCAUGGUUUGAUAUAAUGGACUACCCGCUUUGCGCGCAGCCACAGUUGAUCAGCAGGAGUAAAUCAAUUUAAUUUUGUAUGGCGAAAUGCAUCUAAACUUGAAUUACUUGAAAUACAAAGCUUUUCCCGAAAAAAUAUUUGGUAGGCUUAAUAGUGGUCACCAUUGUGCACAACCACUACCAAAUAUUUUUUCGAAUAAUGUGUUCCACUUUGAAGAAUUUGCCUUUAGAUGGUAUUCGCCAUACAAUAUUUUUGCGAUUUACUUUUAGCGAUUUUUCGCGCAUAGAAGUUAGCGCCACAUUGGUCGAUGCGGAGAGUAGGGAAACAGCCGAUGUAGUUAAUUCAUUAAGUUAUUUUUUUGUUCAAAAUUUUUCAGUCUUGUAUCGUGUACAAACGUUAACUUUUUUCGAACGCCCUUUCUAUUCUCGACUAUUCACGUGGCAUUUCCAUAUUAUUUAGCAAAAUAAUAGUAUGAUACAAGCUCACCUAUUUUACAUUAUGUAGCAAAAACUUGUGUGGAACGAGCUCACCAAUUUUACAACAGCAACGUUUUGCUGUUUUACAUUUUGUUUAAACUUUGGAAGUAAAUAUUGCGAAAAAAAAACAUCGUUCUUAGAUUUCUAGACUAAGUCUGAUGAGCUAAGAAACAUGUUUGAACUGAGACUGACCCACAGUGAAUCGCCACUCAUCGGCGGCGAAGCAACAGUAGUAACCACACAGUCACACCGAAAGUGACACAUACUUGGGACUGUGUACUGCACCGCGCGGUCCACUAUUAUUAUAUGUAGGGAAGUUCGCGCGAGAGAGUAGCUACUAGGUGCUGACUGCACUGAGAAAUAGUGGAAAAUUCUAUUACUUUGUUCGCAAUCAGAUCGCAAACCAUUCGUCGAACUGCGUUCGUAGCAGCAAAACGGUAGUGUAGAAUUUGUCUCGGUUUCGGUUUCGGAAGAAGGAAAAAAAAGGCCAAACACGUGCCGUCGCCUGGUUUUCUGAGGGAGGGCAGUGCAGAAUCAUAGUGUUUUUCUUAUGUUUUUUGAUUGCCCACCGCGAAAGCAGCGUGGAAAAAUUAUACAAACCAACCUGCAAGAGGAAGUGUGAUAUAAUCGGCCGAAGGUUGCUUCAUUACACUACCAGUUGAUGAAAUCUUAACUUCGUCGUGCUUUUUACGGGUGAGAGCAGUCUGGACGUAAUUUUCCUAUGUGCAGAAUUCUUCGGAUAAUCAAAAGAAUGUGAGUUUUUGGGACUACUGCUCAGCAUCAAAAAUAUUUAGCAGCCUGUUUAAUGCGCCCCUAGAAAGCACAUAAAAUUCCACAAGUUAACACUACAGCAAAAUCGAUCUGGCACUCAGCAUGACCGCAAUCCGGACCAAUCUGGCUCGCACGGGAAUAGCCAAAUAAAAACAAAAAUACGGAAAGCAGGAACCAGCUCUUCACCAGAGCACCCACACCCGCGGAUUCCCGACAGCGCCCCCCAACCCGCCUGCAGUCUUCGGUGUCGGUGGUGAGAAGAUCAACGAUUCAAUCAACGUCCCGCCGCGCUGUGCCGUUGUCUCGCCAGUCAGUGGCUGUGUGUGCAGAAGAAGGCGAGAGAGAGCGACGACGAGCUAAGAGAAGCAAACCAGUCAGUCAGUGCAGUUUGUAUCAUCAACAAAGCAAUAUAGAGAGAGAAAAUAACAACACACGCGAAGAAAGAGCCGCGAAUGUGUGUCUGUGCAAAAGUUGCAUGUGAAGAGGUGACGACAACAACGGGUUCAGUGCAAGUGCAGCGCACCUAAAUGGCAGUAUAGUGCAUCGUCGUGAAGAAUAACAAACCCAGAGAAAAAAGGCGACAGUGUGAAACGCGGGAAAUAUAGUGAAUAGCGGCGGCCGCCAAUCAGCCAACCAGCGCUUGUUGUGUGUCAUAACAAAGAAAGAGUGCGGCGUGCGGUUGAAGGAAAUUUACUAGUUGCGUGCGUGAUUAAAAGGCAGUUUGCGCGAAUACAAAAAAUAAAUAAAAAUAUAGUCACACAGGCAGUCAGUCACUAAUACCAAUCGAAGUAAAGAAGAA